GUAAAAAUUUUAUAAGAAUAUGAUGUUGGUUCAGAUUAAGCGCUAAAUAAGGACAUGACACAUGCGAAUCAUACGUUUAUUAUUGAUAAGAUAAUAAAUAUGUGGUGUAAACGUGAGUAAUUUUAUUAGGAAUUAAUGAACUAUAGAAUAAGCUAAAUACUUAAUAUAUUAUUAUAUAAAAAUAAUUUAUAUAAUAAAAAGGAUAUAUAUAUAAUAUAUAUUUAUCUAUAGUCAAGCCAAUAAUGGUUUAGGUAGUAGGUUUAUUAAGAGUUAAACCUAGCCAACGAUCCAUAAUCGAUAAUGAAAGUUAGAACGAUCACGUUGACUCUGAAAUAUAGUCAAUAUCUAUAAGAUACAGCAGUGAGGAAUAUUGGACAAUGAUCGAAAGAUUGAUCCAGUUACUUAUUAGGAUGAUAUAUAAAAAUAUUUUUAUUUUAUUUAUAAAUAUUAAAUAUUUAUAAUAAUAAUAAUAUAUAUAUAUAUAAAUUGAUUAAAAAUAAAAUCCAUAAAUAAUUAAAAUAAUGAUAUUAAUUACCAUAUAUAUUUUUAUAUGGAUAUAUAUAUUAAUAAUAAAAUUAAUUUAUUAUUAUUAAUAAUAUAUUUUAAUAGUCCUGACUAAUAUUUGUGCCAGCAGUCGCGGUAACACAAAGAGGGCGAGCGUUAAUCAUAAUGGUUUAAAGGAUCCGUAGAAUGAAUUAUAUAUUAUAAUUUAGAGUUAAUAAAUAUAAUUAAAGAAUUAUAAUAGUAAAGAUGAAAUAAUAAUAAUAAUUAUAAGACUAAUAUAUGUGAAAAUAUUAAUUAAAUAUUAACUGACAUUGAGGGAUUAAAACUAGAGUAGCGAAACGGAUUCGAUACCCGUGUAGUUCUAGUAGUAAACUAUGAAUACAAUUAUUUAUAAUAUAUAUUAUAUAUAAAUAAUAAAUGAAAAUGAAAGUAUUCCACCUGAAGAGUACGUUAGCAAUAAUGAAACUCAAAACAAUAGACGGUUACAGACUUAAGCAGUGGAGCAUGUUAUUUAAUUCGAUAAUCCACGACUAACCUUACCAUAUUUUGAAUAUUAUAAUAAUUAUUAUAAUUAUUAUAUUACAGGCGUUACAUUGUUGUCUUUAGUUCGUGCUGCAAAGUUUUAGAUUAAGUUCAUAAACGAACAAAACUCCAUAUAUAUAAUUUUAAUUAUAUAUAAUUUUAUAUUAUUUAUUAAUAUAAAGAAAGGAAUUAAGACAAAUCAUAAUGAUCCUUAUAAUAUGGGUAAUAGACGUGCUAUAAUAAAAUGAUAAUAAAAUUAUAUAAAAUAUAUUUAAUUAUAUUUAAUUAAUAAUAUAAAACAUUUUAAUUUUUAAUAUAUUUUUUUAUUAUAUAUUAAUAUGAAUUAUAAUCUGAAAUUCGAUUAUAUGAAAAAAGAAUUGCUAGUAAUACGUAAAUUAGUAUGUUACGGUGAAUAUUCUAACUGUUUCGCACUAAUCACUCAUCACGCGUUGAAACAUAUUAUUAUCUUAUUAUUUAUAUAAUAUUUUUUAAUAAAUAUUAAUAAUUAUUAAUUUAUAUUUAUUUAUAUCAGAAAUAAUAUGAAUUAAUGCGAAGUUGAAAUACAGUUACCGUAGGGGAACCUGCGGUGGGCUUAUAAAUAUCUUAAAUAUUCUUACA
rnacentral:ncRNA from 9 species